CUGAUUUAAUCUGUAAACUUGUUUUCUUUAAUGUGGGCAUUGUAAAAUGAUACUGAUGCUCAUGUAUUGAUGCUAUCUAUAUUGUGUUUGCCUGUGCUGUAGACUCCUGGUCUUCUCCAGUCAGGUCUGCUGUGUACCUGCUGGGACAGAAUGUGAACGUGCAGAUUUCCACUCGACACCAUUAUCCUGGGAUCAAGCUUUUUAUCAACAGCUGUUAUGUGGCUACCAUUAACACUUUGAGUCAAGCCACCAAAUACAGCAUCAUAGACAAUUACAGGAAAGUUGGAUAAAUCCAGGUGCUUCAAGAUUUAGAUUCUCCAGGGCAGACAAUGUUAUUCAGUUCUCCUUUGGUGUUUUCCAAUUCAUUAAGGCUCCAGAUGCCCAGGUCUCACUCCAUUGUGAGGUCUCUGUGUCCGGUGGAGUCACCCUUGUACCACCUAACACUACCAUUCCAUUCCAUUCUAUACCACUAAAUUCUGUAAAUAUCCAGCAAAUUCAUGGUUUCCAUGAUUCGUCUCUCACCA